AAGUGUUCCCACUAAAAUUGUAAGAAAUAAUAAGGGGAGCGACAGUUUCCAAUCCUGUGAGCUAUGCGUUAAUUUAGAUAAUACACUAAAUAUGUUGCUUUGUGAUCAUUGUGAAAAGGCAUUUCAUGCACCUUGCUGCAAUCCAAAGACAAAGAUGUCACCCACUGACGAAUGGUUUUGUCAAUCUUGUUCAAAGCUAGCUGGCAAAGUUUCACUAGAGGCUUCCUUUAUGAAAUCACAAAGCAUCAGUUGUUGCAAUGGAAUUCCUGAAUUUAAGUGGGGUCCAAUAGCGCUCAUGUUAAAAUACCCUGAGCCAUAUACAUCUCGUCCUAGAAUUGGUGGUUGUUUUCAAGCAACAGUUCCUGAAUGGUCUGAUCAAAUGUCCAAGGAUUUUGAUUCCAUUGGUGAGCCACUGGAACUGGAUCCAGCAGAGAUUGUUGGCUUACAUGGAUGCCCUGCGGACAAGUAUCUGGGUGCUAUUAGUAAUUGGCUCCAAUGUCAAGAAGUCUUAUAUGAUGGUACAGGAG
rnacentral:misc_RNA from 1 species